AAAACGGCCCUUUUCAGGGCCACCAAAUUCUACGCAGUGAUGCGG
rfam:Trichuris suis scaffold47.3, whole genome shotgun sequence.